AAAGUAUUAGUAUAUUUAGUAUAUUUAUCUUCCAAAUAAAAGGUUCUAAAAAGAAUACUUUA
rnacentral:tRNA from 1 species